UUUACACACAAUUUUCGUUUUAACUUUUACACACAAUUUUCGUUUUAGGCCUAUAAGUACUUUUCGAAAAUGUAGCGAUCGUUUUGGAUUGAACUCACGGCAUCGUCAUGACAUAAGAGGGAUUUCGAUCGUUUGUUUUUGAAGAGCGAGCACUUGCAUAAUUGGAUUGUCGGUGUUCAAAGAAUUGAGCACAACUUUUGCACACGGUGUCUGUUCUGGGCCUAUAAGUACUUUUCGGAUAUGUAGCGACCGUUUUUGAUUGAAUUCACAGCUUUGCCAUUACGUAUGAGCAAUUUCAGGCAUUUUUUUUGAAGAACGAACACUUGCAUAUUUGGAUUGUCGGCGUUCGAAGAAUUGAGCGUAACUUUUGCACACGGUGUUCAGUUUGGGCCCAUAAGUACUUUUCGAAAAUGUAGCGACCAUUUUAGAUUGAACUCACGACAUCAUCAUGAUGUAAGAGGGAUUUCGACCAUUUGUUUUUUGAAGAACGAGCACUUGCAUAUUUGGAUUGUCGGCUUU
rnacentral:sRNA from 1 species